GAUGAACGCUGGCGGCGUGCUUAACACAUGCAAGUCGAACGGAAAGGCUCCUGCUUGCAGGGGUACUCGAGUGGCGAACGGGUGAGUAACACGUGGGUGAUCUGCCCUGCACUUCGGGAUAAGCCUGGGAAACUGGGUCUAAUACCGGAUAGGACGAUGGUUUGGAUGCCAUUGUGGAAAGUUUUUUCGGUGUGGGAUGGGCUCGCGGCUUAUCAGCUUGUUGGUGGGGUAAUGGCCUACCAAGGCGUCGACGGGUAGCCGGCCUGAGAGGGUGUACGGCCACAUUGGGACUGAGAUACGGCCCAGACUCCUACGGGAGGCAGCAGUGGGGAAUAUUGCACAAUGGGCGCAAGCCUGAUGCAGCGACGCCGCGUGGGGGAUGACGGCCUUCGGGUUGUAAACUGCUUUCGCUAGGGACGAAGCGCAAGUGACGGUACCUGGAGAAGAAGCACCGGCUAACUACGUG
rnacentral:rRNA from 1 species